UAUAGUCAUAGUUUUGAAUCAGUUAGAUGUAUUAUUUUUUUGACCAAAAAAAUAAAUGCAUUUCUUUCUACAUCAGUUACAUAAAUACAUAGCUCUGCAUGAAAGCACAUUAUUCCUGUUUUCGAUUUAAUUGAUUGAACAUACUGGGAUCAAUAUUUUGUUCAAAAAGAAAAAAAAAAGUGGCAAUGAUAACAUUGAUAUAUUAAUUCAGUUAAAGGACUGAGAAUCUACUCUGAGUAAACUCUAACAUUGGUAUGGACAUCACAGCAUGCUCAAUGUUUGCCCUUAUCUUGAAUAAAGGUGAUAGAGACAUGGACCAUGGAAAUGCAUCAUAGAUGUGGGCCAUUGAUAUGCCCAGCCAUGUGAAUUGUGUGAAAUGUCAAGCAUUGUGCAUGAAGUAUUAUUGCUUACAGUCUUAUAUCAAGGAACUAUAGUUCGCCUCCUCUUUCUUUGCUUUUCUUUUUUCCAAAAUUACAACAGGUACGGGGUCCUAAAAGAGUCAUGUAACUCACUUUUUGUUUCUUGAUGGUGGCAGAGACCUAAUGCUGCAUUAAAAUUCUAGGUAGUGGGAGGAUAUAUACACUGUUGCAUGCCAGGGCAAUAAAGCUAGGGUUAUGGAAAGGUGGUCCACUUCAUGAAGGUGGUGACCUUAAUGAUAUGAUGGCCACCACCCAUAUCUAGGUCUUGACUCUAUCAACAGUGCAGUGGUGGAUGGGAGAGGUCCUAGUUUUCCCACAGAAACACGUCAUGCACCCAAACUACAAGUAUCAACUGGGUAAGGGAACAGAGAAAUUCACGAGCACAGAAAUUAAGUAGCAUGCAGCAACAAGAACAUCUGAAACAGUGUGCGGCACCAGAGGAUUAUUCAGUGGUUUUGUUUUGACUCUUGGGUGCGCUCUAACCUUGUUCUUUUCUUCCACCUCCUUUUUCUGCCGCUCACUCAUACAUGUUUAUUUAAGACAUGCUUGAGCCACUUCAUGUGGCUGAGCUUACAUUGUCUCCAAUUCUUUUUCAGUCUGAUUCUCUUGAGAAACUUCUAAAUUCUCCUGCUAUUUAAGAAUCCAGAUGCAUAUAGUCAGAUGUUACUAUCAAAACCAUUUCUUAAGCUCCUUUAUGAAGGCAAACAAUGGAUAGAAUUAUCUUAUGUAUUUAUAUGUUUUCUGUCAAGGUAUUGGUAUUUUAUGACUUGAAAUUAGUUAUUUGUCCCAGUUUUUUUUGGUACAUAUUUUGUCCCAGUUUUUGGUAGCCCUUCCAAAAAGCUAGCAUUGUUUCAGUUUUUUGUUCUUAGGCAUUCUCUACAGAAAGCUAAAGUCUAGCAGCUACUCUUCGUCUGGUGCUCUAACUUGUAGUUAUCUUAUAGCGCUCCUCUUGAAAUGCUUUCAAACAUCUCCCUUUUAGCAAACUCUAUGAUUGUCUGUUUCCACUUGACAUAAAGUCACAAAAGGAAGAAACAACUCCUCAGACAGGACGUACCCCUUGGGUUUGGAGUUGGUAUCUGUGGGGUUUGCACAGUUAAUGAAACCAUAAUGAAGCUGGUACAAGCAUUCAGUUGGCCAGGUUAAUAACCAAUGGACUUGAAGCCAUGCAUGAUGCAUGUUUGUUUUGCUUUUACCACCACAUAUUGUAGCUUUCGAUGGUGAACAGGGAAUUAGGAAUUCCAACUAUGUGAAAUUAAUGAAGUUGACUUCAUGUUGGUGGCCUAACGAAUAUCAUCAUCAUUCCACAAGACAAUCAUGAAUGUGGACCAUGUCAAAAGCCUGCAAGGCUUUUCGAGCAGUCAUCAGCCCACCAUAAAGGGAGCAGUAGCCCUUCCUUUAACACCCACCAGCUCGUUAGAACAGCAUUAACCAUGCGAAGACCCAUGCCUGUCCCCAUGCUCAUUUGCCUAAUUCUUCUUUUCGAGACAUUUUCAAGCCAAGUUCGGAGCAUUGAUGAUGGAAUUAAACCUGGAUACUUGGUGAGCAAGGGUCCGAAUUUGGAGAUGCAUGCAAGAAAGGCUCUGGGGGAGAUCACACUGGAUUAUGACUACGGAGGACCCAACCCCAAACAUGACCCCAGGAAAGGGAAGCCAGGGAAUGGUGGUAAGAACCCUUAACUCUCAUUUGCCCAUCCCGCUGUUGUACGGGAAUCACGAAGAAACUAGCCUCUUUUUAUACUAUCUGUCUGUACUGUUAUUCUUUAUGGUCUUAGACUUGUUUUUUUUUACUGGGGGACAUUACUGGUAUGGUUUUAAUUAAGGUAGCAGUUUGUCUGUGAGAAAAUCUUGUACUAGCUCUCUCGUACAGGGGGACAUAACUGGUAUGGUUUUAAUUAAGGUAGCAGUUUGUCUGUGAGAAAA